GUACCAUGUCCUCAAAACUUUGCUAUCUGUCUUACAGAUCCUAAAAAGAAUCCUGACAUGUUCCUCCUCUCAGAGUGCGAAGCCCCAGAGAAAAAUGCCUAUGUGAACCUGAUCUGUUUGGUAAUUGGAAUACAGCCAUUGAGUAUCACCUGGGAGACAAAGGCACAAAUACAUAAAAAGGUCUUCUUCACCACUAAACGUGAAAAUAAAUAUAUAAUGGGCCUCUCUGUUUCUGUGCUGGCCUCAGAACUGAACCUCACCCACAAGUGCAUCACAAACAACGAACCCGAAGGGCAAGAAAAAAUUUUCAAGUUGCCUGAGACAUGGAAUUCUCAAUCCUCCCAGAAAACCACUCCAACUCUCCAAGCAAAUGAUCACUCCAUAGAAGCCACCAAAGCUACUGCCGUGGAAAGGGGCAAUGUAGAGGCCACAGCACCCAGCAACCUCACUGUGAACAUCCUGACCACAUCCACCCAUCCUGAGAUGUCAUCUUGGCUUCUGUGUGAAGUGUCUGGCUUCUACCCUAAAAAGAUCCACCUCACGUGGCAGAGCAACCACAGUAAAAAGAACCUGACGAACUUUGUCACUGCACAACCCACCCUCCAGUCUGGGGUCAAAUUUCAGACCUGGAGUGUCCUGAGACUACCCGCCGCUCUGAGCCCUUCAGUUGACACUUAUACAUGUGUGGUAGAACAUGAGGCCUCCAAGACCAAGCUUAAUGCCAGCAAGAGCCUAGAGAUUACUGGCACAGUCAACACCAACACCAUCCCAUACUCGUGCAUCAAGGAUGAGCAAAGCGACAGCUACAUGGACCUAGAGGAGGAGAAUGGCCUGUGGCCCACAUUGUGCACCUUCGUGGCCCUCUUCCUGCUCACGCUGCUCUACAGUGGCUUCGUCACCUUCAUCAAGGUGAAGUAGACCAGGACAGCAGAAUCCUGCAACCACAGAGAAAAGUGCUUUCCCUCAACAAGAAGCCCACAAAGAAGAUACCUUCUAUGCAGAGAGAAACUCCAGGCCCUCCUCUCAAUACCCACUCUCCAUCUAGCCUCCCAGACUCAAAAUGCCUGGCAUCCUUGGCUAUAGGCAAAGCAGGUGUUCUGUUGCUCCAGCCCUACUCAUCGCUGUCCCCUGCCUCCCUCCAAGUCCCCAUCAUCCCAUAAGCAUGCUAAGGUUCACUCCACCUGUCUCCUGCUUGUUUGUUUGUUUGUUUGUUUGUUUGUUUGUUUGUUUGUUUCUGUGGUCUAAAUAAACUCAAAGCACAUGAGAUCUGAGGCAAACAGUGGAGAAGCCACUAGGGAGGAGUAUCAGAGUCACACUGAAGAAAAUUAUUCAGUGAACUAAGAUACUAUUCUCCUCCCACCUUAAACUCACAGUUGACUUCUCACAUACACAUAAGCAUAUACACAUACACAUGCACAUGUUCACAUCACAGUCCCUAAAACAAUGUACACACAUGCAUAAUAACAGAGGCAGAUAGCAUGAGAGCAUGUGCAUACCUACUCAGAUGCACACAAAUUUACACCAGAGCCUUAGGUGGAAGGAAUGGGGACUGUGGUCGUUUGAAUAAGAAUGGCCCCCAUAGGCUCAUAUAGUUGAACCCUUAGUCACCAGGGAGUGGAACUCUUUGAUAGGAUCAGAAGGAUUAAGAGGCGGGUCCUUCCUGUAGAAAGUGUGUCACUGGAGCACAGGUAGGCUUUCAGGUUUCAAAAGCUCAUGUCAGGAUCAGUGUCUCUCUGUCUCUCCAUGUCUGUCUGUCUCUUCAGAACUCUAGGUUAUUUCUGCAGCACUCUGUCCAUCAGCACGCCACCAUGCUCCCCACCAUGAUGAUAAUGAACUAACCUCUGAAACUGUUAGCAAGCCUCAAUUAAAUGCCUUCUUUUAUAAGAA